rnacentral:rRNA from 1 species
UAGGGAAUUUUGCGCAAUGGGGGAGACCCUGACGCAGCAACACCGCGUGAAUGUUAAGCCCUUCGGGGUGUAAAGUUCUGUCAGUGGGGACGAAAUAUGACUGUACCCACAAAGGAAGCACCGGCUAACUCCGUGCCAGCAGCCGCGGUAAUACGGGGGGUGCAAGCGUUGUCCGGAAUGACUGGGCGUAAAGGGUGCGCAGGCGGUUUGUCAAGUUGGAAGCGUAAUCCCGGGGCUUAACUCCGGUGCUACUUCCAAAACUGAUGAACUUGAGUGUGGGAGAGGUAAGUGGAAUUCCUAGUGUAGCGGUGGAAUGCGUAGAUAUUAGGAGGAACACCAGCGGCGAAGGCGGCUUACUGGACCAUAACUGACGCUGAGGCACGAAAGCGUGGGGAGCAAACA